AAAAAACAGACAACUAACGCUUUAAAUUGGCUUUAUUGCGUUAGCUGGUCGUCCUGUUAGCUUGCUUUUAGCGAAUUAGCAUUUUCUUUAACUAGUUUGAAAGUUACGCUAAAUGUACAAAUAACCCAAUCAGCGGUGCUAAUAAAAGUGCUAAGUCGUCUAUUAUUAAUUAAUAAUUCUAAGUUUAGUCUUUAUUGUAUUCUCACAUCAUCAUCAUCAGAGGAAAGCAGGAAACCUGCAGCUCUCCAACACCGGCUCGCUGUCACACAGCUCACCAGUUCUUCUCCAGCGGAGGAAAAUCAGCGAGCUGUCCAUUGACCGAGGUGAGAAUUUCUCCGGUAGAGACGAAGAACAGCGGAACUAACCACAAUCACCCUUAGGCACAAGCAGAUGUGUCAGCCACUGAAAUUUGCCCUGGUCAACGUUUCUGAAGGCAAUCUGGAUUCUGCACCAUGCUAACAGGCGGUUUGCCAUCUGCUGCCACCAACACUGCAUGCUGCUGCCACUGGAGUCCUGGAGUUGCAGAUAAGAAGACAGAGGCUCAGACUGUGCUGGAUAAUCAUGGUGAUGGUGGUGAGCUGAAGCUGAAUGCAUCACUCCGGCUCUCUCCAUUACACAAGCAUCAGCUAUGGGGUGGCAGUGAUGGUGUACCACCAAACAGAUAGGUAUAAAGUCUACUAGCUCCUCAUCCUGGAGAUCACAUGAUAUGGCACGGCGGAUUUCUGGCCCAAUAUCAUGCAGCGUGCGGAGACCAGCCUGGAACCACGACAACACAGCAGAGCUAAGUACCUGGGCAGCUUCGCGAAGUUCUCACGAUUCAUACGGACGGGAUACACACACAGAAAAGCUCUCACACACCAGUGUCAACAUGUAACAGGAAGUGGAUACAGUUUCCACAGACGAAGAGAAUAAUGAAGUAAAUGCACACAAUCAUUCCUGAAGACGAAGGGCCUCCGUACGCCAUGAUGCCGUCGUACAUCACCUGGUUCCAGUCUUCACCUGUCAGAAUCUGAGAUACACACACAGGCAGGAUACAUCAGGUUUUUAGUGUGCAAUAGUCUACGUCUCUUCGUCAACAUUAUCAUCAUCCAAAGUUACUAAAUCAUUUUAAUUAUUUAAUUGCUUUUUUAAUCCAUAUAUAUUUUUAUUUAUCAGAUCUUCCUAUUAAUUACUCUUAUAAAACACAACUUUUGCGCGCACACACACACACACACACACACACACCUGGAAGACGGUCAGAAGAGCCUGGGGGAA